rnacentral:rRNA from 1 species
GAUGAACGCUGGCGGCGUGCUUAACACAUGCAAGUCGAACGAUGAAGCCCAGCUUGUUGGGUGUAUUAGUGGCGAACGGGUGAGUAACACGCGAGUAACCUGCCCUUGACUCUGUGGUAAGAGCUGGAAACGCUGGCUAAUAUCGCAGAUGAGCGCUCACCCCACGGUGAGUUGCUGGAAAGAAUUCCGGUCAGGGAUGGACUCGCGGCCUAUCAGGUCGUUGGUGGGGUAUCGGCUCACCAAGCCGACGACGGGUAGCCGGCCUGAGAGGGUGACCGGCCACACUGGGACUGAGACACGGCCCAGACUCCUACGGGAGGCAGCAGUGGGGAAUAUUGCACAAUGGGCGGAAGCCUGAUGCAGCAACGCCGCGUGAGGGACGAAGGCCUUCGGGUCGUAAACCUCUUUUGGCAGGGAAGAAGCGAAAGUGACGGUAACUGCAGAAAAAGCACCGGCUAACUACGUG